rnacentral:rRNA from 1 species
UACAGAGGGGGCAAGCGUUGUUCGGAAUUACUGGGCGUAAAGGGCGCGUAGGCGGCCUUCUAAGUCAUGCGUGAAAUCCCCGGGCUCAACCCGGGAACUGCGUCUGAUACUGGAAGGCUUGAAUCCGGGAGAGGGAUGUGGAAUUCCAGGUGUAGCGGUGAAAUGCGUAGAUAUCUGGAGGAACACCGGUGGCGAAGGCGGGUCUCUGGGCCGAUACUGACGCUGAGGAGCGAAAGCGUGGGGAGCGAACAGG